AUUCCAUUGUAUUAUUAUAUAUAGAGUUAUUGCAUGAAUUCAUCAUGCUCUAGGAGACAGUAAACUAGCAAUAUCAUUUCAGCACAAAACUGUCAUUAUGUAUGAGAGACUGCUAGGAGUGGACCACUGCAGCUCUAUAUCAGCCUAUUUCCAUUUGGCUUAGUAUUGCUGUGGGGCUGAGAGGAAUGUUGUGGCGUUGAGAUUACUGUAUAGAGUUAUGUAUCUAAUAAUGUUAACACUUGGUGAGGAUCAUCCUGAAAUGUCUAAUGUUGAUGUAAGUAUUGUUUUAUCAAUGUUCUCU